rnacentral:rRNA from 1 species
UACAGAGGUGGCGAGGCGUUAUUCGGAAUUAUUGGGCGUAAAGGGCGCGUAGGCGGCUUGACAAGUCCCGGGUGAAAUCCCUCGGCUCAACCGAGGAACUGCCUUGGAAACUGUCUGGCUUGAGGCCGGGAGAGGGUAGUGGAAUUCCCAGUGUAGCGGUGAAAUGCGUAGAUACUGGGAGGAACACCGGUGGCGAAGGCGGCUACCUGGACCGGUUCUGACGCUGAGGCGCGAAAGCGUGGGUAGCAAACAGG